CUGGCCGGGCGGGGGGCUGACCCCCCCACCUCCCUCCCGGAUGGGGCGGCUGGCUGGGCGGGGGGCUGACCCCCCCACCUCCCUCCCGGACGGGGCGGCUGGCCGGGCAGAGGGGCUCCUCACUUCCCAGUAGGGGCGGCCGGGCAGAGGCGCCCCUCACCUCCCGGACGGGGUGGCUGGCCAGGCGGGGGGCUGAUCCCCCC
rnacentral:lncRNA from 10 species